rnacentral:rRNA from 1 species
AGUGAACGCUGGCGGUAGGCCUAACACAUGCAAGUCGAACGGCAGCACAGUAAGAUCUUGCUCUUACGGGUGGCGAGUGGCGGACGGGUGAGGAAUACAUCGGAAUCUACUUUUUCGUGGGGGAUAACGUAGGGAAACUUACGCUAAUACCGCAUACUUCCUACGGGUGAAAGCAGGGGAUCUUCGGACCUUUCGCGAUUGAAUGAGCCGAUGCCGGAUUAGCUAGUUGGCAGGGUAAAGGCCCACCAAGGCGACGAUGCGUAGCUGAGCUGAGAGGAUGAUCGGCCACACUGGAACUGAGACACGGUCCAGACUCCUACGGGAGGCAGCAGUAGGGAAUCUUCCACAAUGGGCGAAAGCCUGACGGAGCAACGCCGCGUGAGUGAUGAAGGUCUUCGGAUCGUAAAACUCUGUUAUUAGGGAAGAACAGAUGUGGAAGUAACUGUGCACAUCUUGACGGUACCUAAUCAGAAAGCCACGGCUAACUACGUG